rnacentral:lncRNA from 1 species
UUUUUUUUUUUUUUUUCCAUGUUACGGUUCAGUAAUUUAUAUUCACCAGUCACUUCUUUUGUCCUGACCAUCUGUAUCUGUGAACGUGAAUCACAGUGUGUGUACUUACAGGUCGAGGAUUUCAGUGUUGUCAUAGUAUUUACCACACAACUACAGCCACAACAGCAACAACGUACAGAAGAUGUGUUCACUCAGAUAAGGCUGCCCUAAACAACCCUUCUGUCACUCAGUUAUUUAACUGUGUUUAGCUCCUUCCGAUCAAAAUGUGUACUUUAAUCUAAAACGUUUUAAUCAUCUGUAUUUCUUAUGAUUUUAACACUAUGAGCUGCCUAAGAAAUCAAGUAACCAAAAUGCACCUGUAAAUGAUGGAGCAUUGUCGAUUUUCCCCCAGCGAUUCAUAGCAGUAACUUUAAGAGGGCAUUGUGCAAUAGUUAGUUGUUUCCUUGUUCGGCUAUUUUAAAAGCUGCUUUAACUUGUGUGUUUGUCUUUGUGUAUAACUACUUCUAAUCUAAUCACUAGAGUUAUUAUAUUCUGUUGUUGUUUGACCAGAGUUAUAUGACGAGAACUGGUGACAGUUUAGUGCCUCUGCCCAUUGUCCAUGAUUUACACUAAUUGUGAGCAAUCUUCUUACAUGUCAGCUCAUUGUUUUUGGAAAGAUUUGCCGUUAGGCUGUUCUUUGAGGUAUCAACGAAGUGAUUGAAUUUCAGUCCCUUAAUUCAGUGCACAUCAUGGUGAUCUAACAGCGGAUCAAAACUGAUAAAACCCAAAAGAGAGUCCUCUAAAUUUGUAGUUCCUACUUUUGUGGGGAUGACCUGGCCGUGUGUGUGGAGAGGGAUGAUGUUUGGGGGUGAAGGAGCCUAGAUUCUCUCCCUGGAUCUGUCACUAACUUGCUGCGUGACCUGAACACGUCACUUUACCUCUCUGUGCCUCAGUUUCCCGUGCAUUAAAAAUAAAAUGAAAUGAAAUAAAAUGGGGAUUCUAAUGUUUGUAAGUGCUUUGAGAUCCUUGAUCAACAGGUGCUAUUGGAGUGCAAAGUGUUACUCUUGCAUGUUUAUUCUGAGUCAUGAGAUAAUCAAUUUUAACCCAAAGUCAUUGGAUUAUUUAUAUAAAGUCCAUAAUGUUCGCGUACCUCAGGGACAUUUAAGAGUUGGAGGUGCAAAUAUAUUCCAAAAGGGUGCAACAGACACAGUGUAUCCCCCUGCUUCUGUUUUUGUAUAUUUUUGCUACUUGGUUUUUCUUGAUCAUAGCGAUUUUGUGCUUGGUCUAUGUUGUCUUAAGAUGCAGUAUCCUGUACUAGCUUAUAAUAUUCCCAUACCAAAGUCAUGGGGAAACCAACAUUAUUUUGUUUUUGGUUUAUUUAUACUAUAUUCUGCAUACAGUACUUUAAAAUGCCAAUUACAGUGCAAUCUUUAUUUAUUGUAAAAUUUUUUAAAUGUACUUAUGUACUAAUUUUCCCUUGUAGCAUGUUAUUUUUUUUGUGUGUUUUAUACUUUUGUAAUUUUAGGUCAGUUUGUUCCUUGGCAACAUCUGUAGUAUUAUCAAUCUUCUGACACUUUCUUGUGUUUUUAAAAGAUAAGAGCAUCUAGUGCAUUAAAUGCCAAAAAACAAAAAAAAUCCAUUAUCAGUGAUUGAAACGUUUACAUGUACCCAAAAAACCAUAAUCAUCUCUUGAAAGAAAGUGCUAAGAUCAAUGAAUUAUUCUGUGUGCCUAUAUUGAUGUAGUAAGUACUAGAGAGUUUUGUAUUUUGUUAUUGACUAUAAUAAUUAGUUUAAUUAGCCUUGCAAAGUGAUGGCAUCAAGGUAAAUAUAUUUUUGCCAAAGUUCUGGCCUUCCAAAAACUCAGCCCUCUAUUUAAUUAUGCAUUAUGACCCACUAAUAACAUUGCAUCUGCAUUUUCUGAGACCCAUCUCGUGCAGGUGUUUGGCGGGGGGCGGGGAAGGGGAAGGGGAGUGGGUGGGAAGUGGGGAAAAGGCAUUAUUUUUAAGCAAUGAAGAUUCAACUGAGUACAAAAUCUCUGUAUGCGGGGGGCGGGGGGAGGCCCUUUUUGGAAACACUUCAGAACUGCUGCUAUGAAGAAAUUCUCAGAAUUGGUUGAAAUGUUUUAAAUGCAAUAAUAUGUUAGGCCACGAUUGCUAGGAGUACUUUAUCAUAUUUUUGAGAUUUUCAUCCUGUUGAACACCAGAAAGCUGAAGUGUGUCACAUACCAGCUGACAGCACUUUAUUUUAUUGUUCUCCAUGAGUCGGUAUUCAUUAUAAUCCCUCCAGUCAAAAAAUUACUGCUCCAUCUGGCGUGGUUUUCUAUCACAAAUAUGUAUAUGUGACAUUGAUACAUAGCUAUAUAUAUAUUGCCGUUACACACGAACAAUAAAAUAAAGUGUCAUAUUAACCUUAUUUCUUUACCCUUUUGCGAUGUGUAGGAAUGAGUGAGUGGCUGGCUUCCAAUGCUCUGUAUGUCAGACUCCUCCCUGGCACAAGAAAUUCCAAUCAUGUGAAGCAAACUGCCCUUUGUCCUCAAAGAAAUUGUUUCAAAAGAAAAGUUUUUUAAAAGAUUUGUUUGAUAUUAUCUGCCUUGUUCUUAUCAACUUGAAAUGUUGGCAUUUUCUAACUAUGUUUUGUUGGCUACAGUAAUUCAGUAUUCCUGUCAAAAUUGAAAAGUGCCCUAAUUGAAUGUGUUUGAAUGUUAUCCUUGCACAGUUCUUUAAAUUGAAAGACAAAAUGUUUUACCUCACUGUUGGACAUACAUUCCAAGCUUUUCAACUUUAGGAGAAAAAAAAAUAAUCAUGUUUUCCUGUAUUGUAAAUUUUAGACUAUUUCAUAUACAUUGUAUUAAAACUGCCAUAUCAAUUUUAAUGUAUAGAUUUUGCAAAUACUAUGCUCUAUGUAAUACCUAACUGUAUCGUAGUGUAUAUGUAAUAUAUUUAUGCCCAAUAAAUGUUUUAAUUCUUUCUGACUUAAGUAGGGUUUUUCUGCCAUGAAUAGGAUUGCUGCUGCUGUUGUUACUUUUUAAAAACUCGAACCACAUCCCCAAAGUUGCAAAUCCAAAUGCCUUUGGAGGCCAGGCAGGUGGCCCAGUGCAUGAUGCCGUCCUCUACCACCUAAGGGGGCAGCUGCAGCCCGGCUCCUGCUGGUUGAGGUCCUGCAAGAUCCCAGGCCACAAUCGCAUAUGCUAAUGUUGCAAAAGAAGCUAAAAGUUCACACUUCCCUACACGGGACAACUAAAAUGUGAUCGUGCACCAUACAGGUGCAGGACCUGCUGGUUAGUAUCCAAAUGCCAAACCUUAGGAGCCCAGGCCUACCUCUGGAUGCCAAGACCCAGAACGCUCCCUUCUCCGUGACCAAGAACCACCGUUUUGACUUCCUUCUUCCCUCCUCUGGGCCUCAUUCGACAACAAGAGCAAUAAAGCACCAGUAUCCUUGCUAGGGCCAUGGUUUCAUUAUGUUUUGAUUGUUUUCGCUAGGAAUCCCUGUUUUCUUUUCUUUUCUUUCUUUUUUUUUUUUUUCUGGAAAAAAAUAUGGAAAAACUUCAUAUAAGAAAGUGAGCUUUGCGUCAUAAAGAACGAUAGCUGUUAUUAUGGGUAAGAGUGACCAGUUGAACACAUCAGAUUUUGCAUGCUCCUGUAACACGCCACUGAAAAUACAGUAAAGGAUUUUUUUUUGUUUUUUAAGUCCCAACUCCCCUUGACACUGGGAAGACUGGCAGAGAGCUUGCUAGCACCAGAAUUUUGGACACCUAAGUGAAAAAAGCUGAAUUCUAAUUUUGCAAGGGGAGAAAUGAUCCACCCCUUCAGCUGACAUGUGAAGUACUCUGAGGGCUCGAAGACUGGCAGAGGCAUGUCCUUUGGAAGUGAUGUGGAGGGAAAGGAGCCUAAAAUACUACUAGUGGAAAGCUGUUUAAAAAGGCAUUAGAUCCAUAAAAUUCCUCCCUGUUUCAUUUUAUUUUCAGCUGGACAGCUGCAACCCUGCAGAAGCCUAUCGGUUUAUCCUCAGAAGGUGAAAAUAGCCCCUAGACUGGAAGACACAAUCCACCCCAGUUGACAGUAAAGGUACCAGAUCAAAAACGGGAUCCAAUGAACACGCGCAUACAGGAGAAUAUGAAGAGUCGUACCUAGAGAGCCUCGUGGGCCAAAAAGAUCUAAAGAUCAUCAAUGAAGUGGUUCAGCUGGAGCGCCCUUGGGUGGUGGUUCUCAGUCUGGGCUGCUCAGUAAUAGCACCGGGAGAGAGCUUUUCAGAACCCCUACAGCCAGAUCAUACUCUAAACCAAUAAAAUGAGCAUUUCUGGAGCGGCAGUGUUUUUUAAAGCCCCCCCAGGUGAUUCCACCCUGCCGCCAGGAUUGAGGACCAGGGCCCUAAGGUGAAACUCUCACUCAGCAAUCUGUCGGCUCUUUAGUCAACGAAGAGUGACCUGACCUCUGCUCAACCUGAAUGGAAAGCGGGAAGCCAACAACUUGGAAGAAUCAGAGACUAAGGGAAGCUUCAGAAAACAAUCGUUACCUCCAGAGAGAUGAGAGAAAAAAAUGAAUCAUCCUUAGACCGAGGGUAGAAUGCUAUUGGAAAAGAAUGCUUGAAGAACAUGAAACUACUCCCCAAAUUAAAAGUUCAGUAGAAGGGUUAGAAGCUAGAAUUAAGAGAAUAACCCCCAAAAUAGAGAAAACAAAUGAAAAGAUAGAAGAUUAGGAUCAGACCAGGACAUUCAUUAUCCAAGUAAUAGGAACUUGAGAAAGAACAAAAAAUUGAGAAGAAAUCAGGAAAUGUGUUUCCAGAAUGAAAGGGUGGUGGGGUACCCAACAAUAAAUAGAAAUGGAUCCCCCAAGGCACGCCAUCUUGAAAUUUCAAAACACGAGGACCAAGAGAAGCUCCCCAAAAUAGCAAACUGGUCACAUAGGAUUAGAAAUCCAAAAGCUUUAUACUUCUCAGUAGCAACACUGAAAGUUGGAAAUCAGUGAGGCAAGUAUGUUGAGAUUUGAAAGAAAGAUCUCUCACCUGCUCAGUCUUGGCCAAGUGUGAAGUAUCACAAAGACAUUUUUAGAAAAGUGAGAUCUCACAAAUUUGCCUCCCACGCACCUUUUCUCCAAAGCUACUAGAGGAUCUGCUCUCCCAUAUAAGCGAAUAAACCAAAAAAGAAGAAUCUGUCGGGAUCUGCCCCCAGUGAUUUUCAUGCAGGUCAGAAGCUGGCUGCCUGGUCCUUUGCCCCAAAGGCCUUUUGCUCCUACCCUAGUCACCAGUUUGUAUAGCUGCCCCCCACAUAUGCACCCCAAGCCAGGGACUCUAAAUGAGCCUCUUAAACCCGGAUCUCUCGCCUUGUGCUAAUUAAAACUAGCCAUUGGGUACGUGGACAGGCAGCCUUUAUUCAGAGUGGCGACGCAAGGAGGUUCCCACCGCUGCUGCUGGACUGGAGAGAGGGAGGGAGUGCUUGGGGCGGCGAGUCCCCAUCAGCCCUGCAGCGUGAGUCCAUGCCCUGGCACAACGUAGACGCCACAAAAAAGAUUUGUGGAGGAACAGUUCACAGAGCAGUGAUAGCACCCAUAAGACUUGCUGCGCCAAACCAGUCUUUUUGCCACGGCUGUGUUAUUUUGAGGACAAUAUUUUGAUUUUAAUUGAAGCAGUUAUUAAUAAUGUACCAUUUAAAAUGUGGAAGAUGCAUCCAAAUACCAGAAUUCCAGAUUCUACUAAAAUUCGAAAGACCUGGCAACUCUAGGUCUUCUCCGGGAAUGAUGACGCUCAACAGAGGUGAAUAACUGCCGUCCCCAUGGGCUGGGGCAUUUGCUGUGCACGUGGCCACACGGGUGUUGAUGGAGACCGUCCGUACACCCACUGCACAAAAGCAGCCCAAGCAGUGGCAAAGAGAAAAAUGCCGACGUCGACUUCAUCAGAGCUCUGGACUUCCACCGAAGCCUUGUCACAGUCGGAGCCUCAGUCAGAAGAGCAGGUUCUGUGGUGUCCCCCUGCUCAAUCCACUCCCCUCCUCAGGAGCUCCACGGGAGCCCUGACCGUCCCCCUGCAGCCACCAGGAGGUGCUCCCCAGAGCCCUGUCACUACCUGAGCUGACCCAGAGCUCACACUGGGAAGAACCUUCUGGGGGCCUUUGUGGAAACAUCACUCAUCCGGGACUAUAAGAAACAGUGAAAGGGAUUAUAGGGGAAAGGAGGGGAACUGAGUGGGGAAAGAGGGAGACAAACCAUGAGAAACCCCUAACUCUGGGAAACACAAAGGGUUGCCGAAGGGAAGGUGGGGGGGAUAGGGUGACUGGGUGACGGCCCUGAGGAGGGCACUUGAUGAGAUGAGCACUGGAGGGUUAUACUCUGUUGGCAAAUCAAACUUCCAUAAAAA